rnacentral:lncRNA from 1 species
AAAAAUGGUCUCCCUCACAUACACUUAACCGAGCCAGCUAAGGAGAUACCAAAACUGUCCCAACUUUUUUCAUGUCAAAUGAAUGAGGUUUGUUUCAGUCCCAACAGCAAAAUAGAAAUGCUGUCUUAGUAGAAUCAAACUAAUAGCCACUAAUGGUAAAUCCAGCCCUUUCUACCAUUUAAACUCUCCCUGGAAAUGCCUGAAAUUCCAUUUUAGCAGUUCUCGGAUUCGGAAUCAUCUUCUUUGUAUUCAUUGAUAGAUGAAAUGCACAUAACCUCUAAAUUUCCAGUGGGAGAGGAGGUCAGACAAAGCACUGGGCCCUAGGGAGAGGGAAGUGGAGAUGCAAAAAAGGGAAGAAGGGCCCCCCUCCUUUUGGAGAGACUCUAAGAGGGGCCACUGGAUCCACUCGGUGCAUGUCACUGAGGAAGCUCUAAACCCUGGUUUGUCCAGUUCAGCACUCCCCAAGCCUUAGAAGGUUGUUUGUCAGCCCCUUGUGGGGUUCUGUUCCAAAGACUGCAUGAACCCACUGAAUGCCUAGAGCCACAUGUGGCCAUAUUCACAGGGAUAUGAGCAAGGAACUCCAACAUGUUCUUCUGGCCACGCUUCCCUCUGAGCAGCCGUGUCAUCAAGAGAGUAAGAGUUCAAAACUAGGCUCUACUCUCCCAGGAUUCACCAGAACCACUUCUGUUUCCCUUUCCAGGAAGCAAAGCAAAACCACACUCAGAAAAUAACGAGAAAGAG